UUGAUGCAGACAUGUCUGAGUGAGGUUCAAUGGAAGGAGGUUGAACUACUGGUUCUCAGUUGUUGCUUCUAGCCUGCAAAUAUUAAUCUUUCUUUCAAAUUGUUCUUGACAGGUACUGUCAUGAGCUUUUCCAUGCACUCAAGUCCUGAGGCAAAACCCACUGAAGAAUUUCUGACAUCAAUGGGCUUUGGAUCUAAUCCAUAGACAGCUAGUUUCUUUUGGAAAACGUUGAGUGAAAUCUGAUGAUAAAUGGACUUAAAUAUCAGGGAGAUGCUUAGCACCUGCUGGACUGACACCAUAUGUUUCUGUCUUGGAGAAACAGACCUUUUCUCAGCAGAAGGAGACACCAAGAUGAUCCAUAGAGGAAAGCCAUGCCAACGCAUCUGUAUUGCCUGGCACGCCUGUAAUAAAGAAAUGAUCAAGUCAGAUUCUGCAGACUCUUCAGAGGUUUGAUAAGUUGAUACUUCAAGAGGCGAAAAAGGGACGUGCAAGGAAGCUAUUUUAUGAAAAGUGGUACUGAUGGUCAGUACAGAUCAAUAUUUAUUUUGAGUUUCUGUUUAGUCACUGCUU
rnacentral:lncRNA from 1 species